rnacentral:misc_RNA from 1 species
GAUGAAGAACGUAGCGAAAUGCGAUAAGUAGUGUGAAUUGCAGAAUUCAGUGAAUCAUCGAAUCUUUGAACGCACAUUGCGCCCUUUGGUAUUCCAAAGGGCAUGCCUGUUCGAGCGUCAUUUGUACCCUCAAGCUUUGCUUGGUGUUGGGCGUCUUUUGUCUCCAGUUCGCUGGAGACUCGCCUUAAAGUCAUUGGCAGCCGGCCUACUGGUUUCGGAGCGCAGCACAAGUCGCGCUCUUAGCCAGCCAAGGUCAGCGUCCAGCAAGCCUUUUUUCAACCUUUGACCUCGGAUCAGGUAGGGAUACCCGCUGAACUUAAGCAUAUCAAUAAGCGGAGGA